UUUGAAAAGAUAACAUUAAAUGAUGUUGAGUUUACAUGCUUUUAUGUGUAUGAAACUUGCAAUUUUUCAAUCUAUUAAUGUUUAUUUUUCUUUUAAAUGAUGAUUCUUCUACCACAGUAUCCAAAAGUAGUGACGGAUUCAGAUGCUAUAAUAUCCAGCAAACACGUCUCUACUCUUAACACAUGAAGCUCUAACUUCUGGCAAAUGUGAAGUAUAUGUUGAAACCUAUAAGAGAAUUGAUAUCUAAGAGCAUUAUUAACCCUGUAUUUUAGGGGGUUCUUAGAGGAAAGUAUGAUUAAAAGAAAAAGAAAAAAAGCAAUUAAGACAAGAAACGCCGCUUGAAUUGGGACAAUAAAAGUCAUCUCUUAAUAAGAAUACGUGUUGAGACUUGGCUUUUCCUUCUUCCUCUUUUGAUUCUCCUCUUGGAUCAAUCUCCGGCGGAGGAGGGGAAACAAGCGGCUGCUUCCGGUUAUUACGGUGGAUUCUUUGAAGCUCAAGGCACAUGGAACGCGCGUAAGGACGAGAGAAGGAGUCGCACAACCGUGAGGAGUCACGUAAUAAGGGAGGUGAACCCCGGGAUGAAUCGGUGAGUUCGGUUGCGGAAGUUUCUUGAUGUCAUCAACGUCCGGUUUACUUCGGUGGUUGGAUAAGCGAUGGAAGUUGUGAGGAGGAGGAGGAGGAGGAGAGAGAUCAAGAUCGAACGGUUCAUGUGUGUCGUCGCCUUUAGUUACUAAUGCUAUAUCUGUAACAAAGUUUCAAAGCGUCACAGAAUCAACAAGAGUAAGUACAAUACCACAAUUUCUCUGUUUCGUUCCCCUGUCCUUGUGUAAACAGAACGAGUCUGGUCUUAUCUAUAACCUGCAUUUAUUGUCUUUGAUGCAUGUUUUCACUUUCAAGCAACUACAUUCAGCGACUGGUGGGUUUAGCAAGUCUAAUGUUGUUGGUCACGGUGGGUUUGGAUUGGUUUAUCGUGGUUUGCUUAACAACGGGAGAAAAGUUGCUAUCAAGUUUAUUGAUAAUGCAGGAAAUCAAGGUGAAGAAGAGUUCAAGAUGGAGGUUGAGCUGCUAAGCCGUCUGCGUUCACCGUACUUGUUGUCUCUUCUUGGUUAUUGCUCAGACAAUAGUCACAAACUGCUUGUGUAUGAGUACAUGCCAAAUGGCUGUCUGCAGCAACACCUGUAUCCUAUUAAUAGUUUCAAAGGCCUCCUGGACCAAUUCCAUGGUCAAUGCUCGGAUUAGAAGUCUACACAGGAGCCAUUGAUAACUUUGGUUUUGAGGAUUACUUGAAUGGUAAUCAAUACCAUUAAAAGGGGAUCAUUCCCAUUUUUUACCCUUAAUGAAAUACUUAAGUUUUCCAAUUUUGACCUUACUUUUAUGAACAAAUUAAAAUUAUCAUUAAUGGCAUUAUUGUCAUUCGAAAUUUGGGCUUAUCAUUAAAUUUAAAUGGACUUUGAUUUGGUCGUAUUAGUUUCACCGCCACUUUUAAAACAAGAGAAUUAUAUACUUAAAUGAAAUCUACAAUCGGGCUUAAAUAAUUAACUUCUUUGGGCUUAUAUAACUACAACAAUAUACUUAGAUAAAACCUAAAUUCAUGCUUAAGGAUUAUGAUGUUACCUUGAUUUACACGUACCUUUGAUUUAAGUAAGCGAAUAUACCCCAUUAUUAAUACCCGUUUAUAAUCUAAAACGAAGGUACACCCAGGAUAUUAUUCCAAAUUUAUAAUCAGAAUAUUCUUCUAACUCCACAAUAUUUGCGAUAUCAAACUGUUUUGGUAAUCUGAGAAGCGUAGCCUAUAAACUUUUGAUAGCCAAAUCUGUUAAUUAAUCAAAUGGGUUAUGUUUAUUUAUAAUCCAUUUCAUAGCCUAUAAACAUUUUUGAUAAUAACAAAUAAAUUAAAAUCUCCAAUAAUUUAAAAAGUAAUAUUAGAUAUUGAAAUUUUCUAACUAAAUGAUUUUAAGACUUUAUCAUAAAACUAAAAAAAAAUUGGACAGCUUUAUAUGUCUAAAAAUACAACCAUUCUUUAACUUAUUUACAAACAUAAAACGGUUGUGUGAGACAUUUUAAAAAACACAAUUUCUUCAUACUGUACAAACUAUAAAGUUUCUUAUUCUAUAUAAUCAAAUCAUAUGACUUAUAUUUAAUUUAUAGAAAUAUUCAACUAUUCAUAUAUCCACCAUUUUUAUAUAACUAAGUAACAAAUAACUGACCCGCAUAAUUGAAAAUUGAUCAUGUGACAUUUUAUAUAAUCAAAAUAAAAGAUUUAUCGAUCUAUUUGUUGAUAAAACAACAAAAAUAGAACCCGCGCUUUUUAAGCGCGGGUCAAAAAUCUAGUUGUCCUUUACUCCUAUUGCAUUACAUGUUUCUCAAUGUUUAACCUUUUUUUUUUUUUUAAGAACCCCUAAAUAAAAGACUCUCAUUGGAGCACCAAAAUGUUGGUGUCUCUUAGCUAAAUCUAUUAAGUGACAUUUAAUAGUUAAAAAUGAUUAAGAGACCCAUAGUGGAUUUUUGGAUUAAUGAUGCUCUAAUUAACUAACUUGGGGGCUGGGAUCUUUCUUUGUUAAAGCAAAAAAAAAAAAAUCUAACAAUACUAAAAGCAGGAUAUCAAGCCCUUUAAGCAUGUCCACGUCAGCCAGUAAUAUUGCAACAAUCAUCCACGUCAUCUUUGAUGAAUUGCCAUGUCAUAAAAGCUUUGUUCGGAAAAAAAAUACCGAAACUUUCGUGUGGUCAUGAUAUUUUCUAAUGGCCCAGUCAAGCCCACUUCUCGAAACGGCUCACACCUUUGUCGUCUCAGUUUUGUAUCCCUGCAAAUCUCCGUUACCACAACCCUUUCUUUAUCAAUCAAUUAUACCUUUUACUCCUUUUUUAUGGUUUCCUUUCACCUCCUCCCUAUGUAUCUUCUCCUAUAAAGAUCGUUUCUUCAAAAUUUUAACCCAAACCAAAAUUGAAAAACCUCCACUAAUGAAGGUAAAGCCUAUGGCCAUGAAAAAUAAAUAAUUCAGAGUCUCUUGCUCUUCCUCUACUCUACAUACCCGGUAAUCAAACCCGCAGUAUUCAUAGCUAUAAAACGGCGAAAUCCACCGCGUUUGCCAUCAAGUUUGCUUGCUUCCAUUGUUGCAGCUUCAUAACUCGUGCCCUGUUUGUCAUAUGAGUUCCCCACAGACGAUGCUGAUUACAAGUUCAUGACUCAUGGAGGUCAGACCAGUGGGGAAGUCGGACAACGAACGGUUGAGAGUUCCCCGACUCCGAGGAGGUUUAGUGUAUCAUAUCCAUGGCCACUCAGGAGACAUGAUACGAAUUAGGAUUCUGUGAGUGGAUCUGAUAUCGAUACUAGAAAUUCAUGGCAUACACCGAAAUUCUCUAAACAUUUGAAGAUCAAGACGAGUUAAAAGAGGUUUUGACCUUCGAAUGCUAGCAAGAAGGCGGAUCAAUGGGAAGCUUUUCGAAUAUACUCUGUACACAUUCCUUUUACCUGUCCUUCUCUCCAAUAUUUGUGUUGCCAGUGUUAACAAUGGGUUAUGGAGAUGGGGAAGAAGCUUGCAAAGAGGAUAAGGAAGCAAAGGGCCUUACAUUGUCCUGAGUCUAAUGGUGGCUUUGAAAAUUUAUUUUCUACACCGAAGAAAAGAAGAAGCCAGUGACUGUUUUAACGUUUUGUUGUCUUCUAGGCUCUGUAAAUGUUCUCAAAACUGGUGUUUUGAUGAUUAUGUACCUCACAUUUAUUUUUCUUUCUAUGGAUAGGUUAAAUCACAGCUCAUUGAAUGAAAAAAAGUACCUAACUCCGUAUUUUCCAAUGGUCUUACAUAAUCGUCUCCAAUGGCAUCAGGGGCCUUAUGCUACUGUCGAUAUACUACAGAUUCCACCAAUAUCAUAUCUUCAAAGCCAAAAAGGGGGAAGAUGAACAUGGUGACUUGAAGCCAGCCUCUAUCGCUGAGGGUGGAAACUGCAGCAAACCAUAGUAGACACUAGAAGGUGUUCGCAGGUUGAAGCAAAAGAAGUUUUCUUUUCUGUUACAAAGCUUUCCCAAUCUAAAGACACUGGUUUGGGAAAGAAUGGUUUACUUGAUCAUAAAGGAACUUUCUCCAUCAGCGGAUAAGGUUUGUAGUUUGUAAUUUGCUUAAGUAGCUGAAUCCUAACACUAAUACUGAGGGUAUAGUUUCUGAAUUCUGAUAAUUUGUUUGUUUUUCUAUGGUUAGUAUUGUUACAAGCUCCCUGAUCAGCGAUAUGAAUAGCAAGAUUGAUAUGUAUCUUGCAAAUGUAGGGAUGUGUAAAGGAAGAUGAAAUCUAACAAGUCAGUGUCGGAGGUUAAUGAUGAAACUGAGGGCGAGGAUGGUAGUAAAUAGCUUUGUAGUUGAUCAUUUUAAAUUACGUUUCAUUGUGUAUAAUCAAAUUCUUGAUGAGAACGAUGACUAAGGUUGAAGUUUGUAGCAUAAGUACAGAUGGCUGAUCUAUUUGUCUUCUUUAUGUUUUCGUAAAAUUGUUAUGGGAAUGAUUAAAAGAUAGUGUUGUUCUUUAUUAUUCUCUUUGUUUUAAUACUUCCACGAAAUGUUUUAUUCCCUACAUGAUUUAGAUUCUUACUUUAUAUAUUUGCGAUCUCAUAUUUCUAUUUUGACAUGUGAUCAGUUCAAAUAAAAGGUUAGAUGAAAAUUGGUAAAUAAAAAUUUAUUUAUUUGGCCAAGAUAAUAUCAUUGUUUCAAACUUGUGUCCAAUUCUAAAUUUACACAUUUCUAACCUAUUAAAUAUAAUAUACUUUUGUAGAUAAAUUAUCAAAAAGAAUUUAAAGCAACAAAUUAGUGAUAAAACAGUAUAAGGAAUUGUAUUUAUCUUUGACGAUGCAACUAAAUAAAACAUAAAAUAUUCAGAAAUUUACUAAGUAUAACUAUGAAAUAGUAAUAAAUUAAUAAGUAAAAUGAAUAAAAUUUGAUAUCUAAUAUGAGUUUGCAAAGAAGCAAGAAGAAAAUAAAACAUUAAGGGUUAUAAAAUGGUAAAAUAAAGAGGAAAUAAACACACAAAUUUAUUACUUCAAUAUAUAUGUGAAUAAGUUUGAAUCAAGUUGAUUCUGUUUAUUUUGCUACCAAAACAAAUUUGAACCAAGUAGUACACAAUAAAUCUAUCAAAUUUUCAAAAUAAAUUAUUAAUUAUAUUUUUUUUAAAUAUCUAGAAUAUAAAAUUAAACAUCAAUAUAUAUAUAUAUAUAAUUAAAAUCAUAUAUUAAGGAUCUUUGAUAUAUCAUGCAUAUUAUAGUAUUUUUUACAAAUGGUAAGAAUACAUUCUAACAUCGUAUUCACAUAUCAUUCAAAUCAUAAGAAACCACAAUAAUUCUAUUAAGAAAAUAUACCCAAAAUGCACUCAUACAUCUUAUGGCCAAACUUACAAUCAAAUGUACAUUAUGUCUAGCCACUUACAAACCCAUUCAUAUUAGUAAAUUUAUAAAUAAAAUUUGUGUUUACUUAUUUAAAUUUCAAAAUAGAUUUUAUUUAUUUAUUUAUUUUAAAGGUCCAUCCUAAUAUUAUUGAGAAAUACACAUCACAGAAAAAUUUUACCAAAAAAAAACUAUAUACAAAAACAUAAUUCGUUAUAGGUUUGCUUUUCUAGAGGUACAAACAAAAAAUAUAAACUGAAAGAAAAAUUAAAAAAAAUGUUUUAAUCUUGAAAUAUCGCACAUGUAACUUUUGUACAUUUCUUCAUAUGAAAUGGCCAAUCAAUAAAUUUUUGACAAUUUCAAAGCAUAUAAGAGUAAAAAUAAAUUAUCUUGAUAACAAUCACUAAUCCAAACAUAUAUAAAGGUGAAUGGAAAAUAAAUUUCAUUAUCAUGUUUGAUUUUUUCUAAUUGAUUUUUUAAAACAAUACAUAAAUUAUUAUUCACCUCAGCAUUUGGAAUCAAAUAUUAUUCUUACUUUACCUAAGAUGAAGCUAAUAAAAACAUAUAUUAUAUAGAAGACUAAUGUCACAUUCAAAAAGCAACAACAUAUACCUUAAAAAACUCAAUCUAUGUACAUUUUUUUUAUGGUUUAAGAAAUUUUCUGAUUUAUUAAUUCUAAAUUCAUUAAAUUGUUUUAAAAAUACAAAAAAUCAAUAAAUAUUACAGAGAAACUAUUUUUGGUCUCUUAAUUGACCGGAAAUAAUAUCUAAAAGCAUUUUCCGCGCGUAGCGCGGCCAGAAACUCUAGUACAUUAUAAUGAGUGAAUGCAACUCCAACUGAUAUUCAUAACAUAAGAAUUUCACAAAAUUAUACUUCGACAUGAUUUAAUUAAUUCAGUUUGAAAGCCGCCUUAAUUGGAUGAUCAAAACGCAAUCAUAAUGCUAUUCCUCACGAUGCAAACAUACAGGUGGGAUCAGGUCUGGAUCGUUCAAGAUACGAUAAGAUGUUUAGUGACAAGAGGAGUCCAACCCUCUUAAAAAGUGUGCAGCCAACUCCACAACAUAUAAACGUUAUGGAGUCCCAGCUGCAAAUGAGUUAUUGUGAAAAGAAGUUCUCAACACCAUAGUCGAAAGAAUGGCACAUUAAUGUGGAUAAUAUAAGUUCACACAUCAGGAAUUUGACUAGGAUAUGAGUAAUAUAUAUAGGUUUAAGGUCAAUUUAAUUAUAAGUAAUUGAUUUUAAGUUGGAAACCGAUGAUAAACCUGAAUUUAACAUGAUAUCAGAGUCCGAACACACCAUGCCCAACUGAAUUAAAAUCAAUCAAGCCAAUCAAAGGAGGCCAUAUUGAUCCUAAAACCGAACUUGACCCGAAUUGUCCGGAGGUCGGACUGAACUAAAUCCUAGUCUGGGAUAUUGUCGAGAUUAAUGGUUAUAAAAGCCAUCAUCUCGAGAGAGGGUGUGGAGAGUAUAAGCUCCCACAUCAAGAGUUUGUCUGGAACAUGAGUAAUAUAUAAAUAUUUAAGAUCAAUCCAAUUGGUUUUAAGUUGGAAGCCCAUGAGAAGCUUGAAUUUAACAUUUAAUGUAACAGUGAAGAACUUGAUGUUUGAUAUGCUUCAAUAGAUCUUUUUUUUUUUGCAAAUGCAUAUGGUACGUAUGUAUAAGAAGGAAAGGGAUAACUAUAUAUUAUAAAUUCACACGGUUAAAUAUAUAUAGGCAAAAGUACAACACAUAUUUUGUAUAUUUUCUUAUCCUAAUCAAAAUAUAUAGUUCUUAUAUUAGAUUAGAUCCUUAUUACAAUAUAUGUGCUAACUCAGCUCCUCUACGUCUCCGCCUCCACAUCCGAAAAGGAUCAUAAGAUUGUUGUCAGCUUCGUCGUCUUCAGCAAGAUUAGAGAAACCUCAGUAUAGACAGCUGUGGAUGAACAUUACAAAUAAGCUUGCCGACCAAAGCCCAAGCCCGUUAUAAGUAUCAAAAUAUUUAUUAUUGUUAGAGCAUGUACAUUGAGGUAUCAUAAGAGGGUCAUGGGUCUGGGUUCACAGGUUUUUAAUUUGAAAAGAAAAAGGAAAAUGGGUAAUAUUAAGUGAACCGGGCCGCUCUCGUGAACUUGUGUGAGACGAGUUCAACACACGUGGAGGCACCAGAUUGGCUGGACGGAGUCGUGAUGACGACGCGGAAAGGAGGUGUUUCGCGUUAUUCUCCUCAUUUCCUCUUCUCUCCCAAAUAGCUAGGGUUUGCGACUCGAGAGGCGAUUCUUGUAGCUAGGGCGAUCAAGAGGUCUUUUGUCCAUAAAAUCGAGGAGGUAAUGUCUCUUGAUCGAUCUCAGGUCCAUUUUCGAGUAGAGUUACGUUGUUAGGGUUUGUUUAUACGGGUUUCAUCGAUUCGAUCUGAAGUUGAAUUGGGGGUUUCUCCUCCAAUAGAGUCUGGAGGAGAGAUCGAUUAUGAGGUUUGUAGUUAAUCGAUCUGUUUGUUAGGGUUCCAUCGAGUCUGAGAUUUGAAAUCGAGGGUUUAUUUGUUAAGGUUCCAUCGAGUCUGAGAUUUCUUUGUUAGGGUUCGAUCGAGUCUGAGAUUUGAAAUCGAUUAGAGGGUUUUUUUAUUUAUGGUUGAAUAGAGUCGAUCUGAAAUCGAAUUGGGGGUUUAUUUGUUUGGGUUCUUUGUUUGGGUUCGUUAAAGAUUGGGUUGUGUUUCCGAGUAGAUUUGAAAUCGAUUAGAGAUUAGUGUUUCUCGUACUUAACUGUUUCUCUUACUUAGUUUAAUCAUAUUGGGUUGUGUUUCAUUGUUUGGGUUCUGUUCUUUGUUUCUCUUACCGGUUCGUUUAAUCAUAUUAUUUGUAGUUAGUAUGUUCUAAUCAUUUCUUCUUUCUGGUGCAGAUGGAUCCCGCAGAAGAAAUAAGACAUUCAAAGAAACAAAGGGACUACUGCUACAUGUUAUGGUUCGUCUAGGAUUCACAGUACGGGAUUCCAAGAAGGUGUGCUUGCGGUGGGAAAAUCAUUGACGAGGUCCGGGGGAAGGAAGACUACGACAGUCAUCCUGGAAAGCGCUACUCCACGUGCAUCAACUAUGAAGUAAGUUUUAUUUUCUUAAUUAUGUUCUUAAAAUAAAAAUAACAGGAACUGUCUAUAAUAUUUGUUUUCUGUUGUCAACAAGGAUGAUGGGUUGCAUUAUAGUCAUCCUUGGGUGGUUGGUGUCCAGGAUGAGAUCGAAAGGCUGAGGAAGCGUCUGGAGGAUGCUGAGGAGGAGAUCAAGGGGGUGUGGAAUCUCAAGUUCCAGAUUCAGACCCUGCAGGAACAGGUAAGAAGCCUCACUGUCCAGGUCGGUACCCUGGAGAAGGUGUGCUUCGACUGAAAAUCAGAGGUUGCUAUGUCACGGGUUGCUAUGUCUGUUGCUGGAUCACGGGUUGCUAUGUCUGGAUCACGGGUUGCUAUGUCUGUUGCUGGUUUAAUAAGUCUGUUGUUGCUUUAUUUGUACGGGAUCAGUGUAGUAUUUUGUUAGUUUCUACACUGAUGUUGCUUUAUGAUGAACGGAUGCAGUGGAGUCUUUCUCACACUGCUACUAUGUCCUUUUGUUUCACGGGUUGUACUAUGUUUCGACACUAGUUUAUUUAAGUCACGGGUCAUGUAACAAAGGGUCAUGUAACAAAGAAGCAUAUAUAAAUAUGCUCUUGAUGUAUGUUUCUAAAUCAGAACUCAACUACUUCUCUUUCUGUCUCUGUCUUUGAAUUUCAAAAUUUCAAGAACACAACUUCUGAAACACUUGAUCAACUACUUCUCUUCCUUGAUGUCUUUCUGAAACACUUGAUCAACUACAAACGAAGAGGACAACUACGCUUCUUCUGCCUCACCCAACCGAGAACAACACAACCAACGUAAGCUCUUCAUUACAUUAUAAUACUUAGGUUAAACGGGAUCUACAUGAUCAGAAGUGGAACAAUACUAGAUUGUGAAUCCAAAUUAUAAUGAUGAUCAAUCAUAUUGUUGGUCCAAUACAUGGCUAAUAUCCAACUUAGGCAAUGUUAAUUUAAAAUUGAUAAUUUUUAUUUUUUUGAAAAAAGGAAGAAUGUCAAGCUCAUCAAAUGAUGAAGUAUAUGAAGUUUUUGAAGAAAUGGUGGACCAACAAAUCGAUGAUUUCAUCGACUCUGUUCUAACCAAAGAGCCGAAGAGACGAGCAUACAUCGAAAGAGAUCGGGAACAAGGACACAAUCAACUAUGGCAGGAUUACUUCAGUGAAAAUCCUACAUACACACACGACAUGUUUAGGCGGCGUUUUCGAAUGAACAAGUCUUUGUUCCUUCGCAUUGUCGAACACCUAGGUAAUGAAAUUCCAUACUUUCAGCAACGAAGAAAUGGUCAUGGAAGGAACGGCCUCUCUACACUUCAAAAAUGCAGUUCAGCCAUACGAUCGUUGGCAUACGGUCAAGCGGGAGAUGUCAAUGACGAAUAUCUCCGACUUGCGGCAAGUACUGCAAUUUUAUGUUUGGAGAAUUUUGCGGAAGCGAUAAUACAAUUGUUUGGAGAUGAGUAUCUAAGAAGACCUACAACAGAAGAUCUUCAAAGACUACUUGACGUUGGAGAGGCACGCGGGUUUCUGGGGAUGAUAGGCAGCA